rnacentral:lncRNA from 1 species
AAAAUCUCUUUCACCCUCGUCAGGAUACGUUUAUUUCACUGAAACUGGACUUUAGAUUGAAAUGGUCUUUUGGUUGAAAUGAAGCUCAAUGAAAAUUACUUCUUUCCUGCUGUUUAUUUUAUAGUUGUGAAAGUGAAAUUUUAUUAGUUUUGUUAUUUGUUUGGUAGGAAGUAUAUGAUGUAAACUAUUUAUAUAUAAAUAAUAAAUAAUUUAAGACCUUUUUGCAUAAAAAAUUCACUUAUUUUGGGCUUUUGCAAAAUCGGGUCACCUUUUUCAUUUUUGCAGAUUCGGUCCGUCUUUUCAGCAAACUGACCAAAAUACCCUUAUUACUUUUUCUCUUUCCUCUUUCUCUCUCCUCUUCGUUUCUGUCGUUUUUUUUUUCUCGCCGAAAAAAAAAGAGACGGACCGGACCGUCGCCUUCUUCUUCACCGUCGCCUCCCUCCUCACCCUCCUUCUUCAUCGUCACCUCCCUCCUCACCCUCCUCUCCACCACCCGCGACCCCCUCCUCCUCUCCCCCGCCGCCGCCGCU